AGUGAACGCUGGCGGUAGGCCUAACACAUGCAAGUCGAACGGCAGCACAGUAAGAGCUUGCUCUUACGGGUGGCGAGUGGCGGACGGGUGAGGAAUACAUCGGAAUCUACUUUUUCGUGGGGGAUAACGUAGGGAAACUUACGCUAAUACCGCAUACGACCUACGGGUGAAAGCAGGGGAUCUUCGGACCUUGCGCGAUUGAAUGAGCCGAUGUCGGAUUAGCUAGUUGGGGAGGUAAAGGCCCACCAAGGCAACGAUACGUAGCUGGACUGAGCGGAGGAUCGGCCACACGGGGAAUGAGACACGGAGGAGCGUCAUACGGGAGGCAGCAGUAGGGAAUAUUGAGCAAUGGGCGAAAGUCUGAAGGAGCAACGCCGCGUGAGGAAAGAAGGUCUUCGGAUCGUAAAAAUCUGUUAUUAGGGAAGAAAAAAUGUGUAAGGAAAUAUGCACGUCUUGACGGGACAUAAUAAGAAAGCCACGGCUAACUACGUG
rnacentral:rRNA from 1 species